UACGUAGGGUGCGAGCGUUGUCCGGAUUUAUUGGGCGUAAAGGGCUCGUAGGCGGUUUGUCGCGUCGGGAGUGAAAUCCACUGGCUUAACUGGUGGCUUGCUUUCGAUACGGGCAGACUAGAGGUAUGCAGGGGAGAACGGAAUUCCUGGUGUAGCGGUGGAAUGCGCAGAUAUCAGGAGGAACACCGGUGGCGAAGGCGGUUCUCUGGGCAUUACCUGACGCUGAGGAGCGAAAGUGUGGGGAGCGAACAGG
rnacentral:rRNA from 1 species